UAAACUUACACGCAUCUAUCAAAUCUCAGUCAUUUGUAAAAUAAAAGAUAAAAAAUAUGGUUAAAACUCUUAAAUUUGUUUAUGCUAUAGUUUUGUUUUUGUCCCUAUUCCUUCUUUCAGUGAAGGCUAUGUAUCCAUGUGAAACUACUCGUGAUUGUUUAAAAAUAUUCAUUAAUUACUACUAUAUUGAGUGCAAACAGAAAAUAUGUGUAUGGGUUCUUAAAUUGUAAAUCCUUAGUUGUCAAAUUUUGAAUGGUUCUUAAAUUAUAUUAUAAUUAAUAGAAUGUUAUUAUUGUAUAAUUAUAAAUUUACCCCAAAUACAACAAAUGUAAGUUAUCAUUUUCAAUUCAA